UACGGGGGGAGCAAGCGUUGUUCGGAUUUACUGGGCGUAAAGGGCGCGUAGGCGGCCAGCACAAGUCAGUUGUGAAAUCUCCGAGCUUAACUCGGAAAGGUCAACUGAUACUGUGCGACUAGAGUGCAGAAGGGGCAACUGGAAUUCUCGGUGUAGCGGUGAAAUGCGUAGAUAUCGAGAGGAACACCUGCGGCGAAGGCGGGUUGCUGGGCUGACACUGACGCUGAUGCGCGAAAGCGUGGGGAGCGAACGGG
rnacentral:rRNA from 1 species